rnacentral:rRNA from 1 species
AAUGAACGCUGGCGGCGUGGAUUAGGCAUGCAAGUCGAACGCGAAAGUUCCCUUCGGGGGAGCGAGUAGAGUGGCGAAAGGGUGAGUAAUGCUUGGAUGACCUGCCCUCGAGACGGGGACAACAGUUCGAAAGGACUGCUAAUACCCGAUAGUCCGGUUUAGAUGCGUCUAGAUCGGUAAAUGGUGCUUCCGCUCGAGAGGGGUUCAAGUCCUAUCAGCUUGUUGGUGAGGUAACGGCUCACCAAGGCGAUGACGGGUAGCCGGACUGAGAGGUUGGCCGGCCACAUGGGAACUGAGACACUGUCCUGACUCCUACGGGAGGCUGCAGUCGAGAAUCUUCUGCAAUGGG